rnacentral:lncRNA from 1 species
GAAAAAUAAAGGAUCAAAAUGCGCUUGGUGUGUGACAUGUGCUAUGUCAUGGUACUUAACUGUGAAAUUAAUCUAUAACCUAAUCUUUCUCUCUUUAAAUUCAGAUGUUUAGCAAGAGAAGAGGAGAAACAGAUCAGGUUCAAUUAAUUACUGUCAUUCUAUGCAUCUUCCAUAAACCAUAAAGAGCGGUCAUUGUGCAGCUCACUGAGUAGUAGAGUAAAACCACAUUCUUCAGAAAUACCACUAGAGUCCUCCCAGGAGUACUACCACCCAUGAAAUCACGAAUGUAUUGCUUGAAGAAUGUACUGUGGAUUGUAUUGGGAGAGUACCUGAAGAUCUCCUGGAAAAAACAGACCUUGACUGGCAUCUCACUGAAAGUGGAUCCUAAAGACAACACAUGGUAUGCCACUGCCAAAGUACAAAUCAGGGAUGAUGGCCUGGAAGACAUCAGUUUAGAUGGGCAAAGUUUUGUGUUGACUUGUAAACAUUUGAAUGACAGUUGCAUCUUAAUUACAUACAGUAACCAAAAUGGACUGUCUGUCCAGAACCUGCAGCUGAGCGAUGCUGUAUGGAUCCUCAUACAGACGUUUUCUGCCACUUCCUAGAAGGCAGUUGAUGUGGGAUCCACUGGUGUCAGUGAGAACAGCAAGAGUAAGGAGAAGGCAGAAACUUACCUGACCAAGAAAGAGUGAGCCUACCUGGUUUCCAUCUGGGAAACAUGCCCUGCUGCAACAUUCAAUACAAAGAACAUGCUCUUCAUUGUCACCUAAAGAAGACACAAAGACUAAGCUUGAUGAUGUGUUUCUCACUUCUUUGUGAAAAAAAAAAUAAAUCAGAGUUUUACACUGAAAAUAUGUUUCA